AAGAGUUUGCUUGCAGGAAUCAUUUCCACAGUUCGUUAUGUGAGAAGUUUCUCGGAAUGUGUAGAGUACUGGAAAUCACAAGGAGGAGACAGAGUUCUCUCCUGAGCAUGAAGGGAGCUCUUGGUGUUGCUUUGGUUGCAGCUGUCAUUUGCCAUCAAUGACUGGUUGUUUUCUUCUUCUUUUAGGAGAGUGAAAAGACUGCUAGCUGAGUGGU
ensembl:snoRNA U3 Small nucleolar RNA U3